UAUCAAAAUUUAGGUUUAGGGGUUUUGAGGAAUGUUACAUGGAGUACUGGAUUGCUUCAUGUGCCUUCUCCGAUGGCAAGAAAUCGUUUACAGCCACCUCCUUGUGCUCGUUCUUCUUGUCUACAAGCAUAAGAUCCAGUAAAGAAAACAUUAGUCUUCGAAGAAACGGCGGAUUUCUGAGAGGCGGUGAGGAGCGAGUUGUUUGAUGUCGGUGAAAUGUUUGUACUCUGGAUCGUCUGCACAUACGGCUAUGAUCUUGUCGUCCAUCUCUCCCUGUAUGAUGAGUACUGUUAGUCAUUAUUUUCAGAGAUUGAAGAGGAGAGACCUGAUCAAUCAUGGGCAUUAAUCCAAUGGCUCUAGCACGAAGAAAACAUCCUGGAAGCACUGGUUCCUACGUACACAAGCUUAAACAGGUUAAAGAACUAUAAAUGUGGGAAAUGGAUGAUACAUUUCCUCUGGUGAUUUUGAUGUUGUGUACCUG